AGUCGUAACAAGGUAUCCGUAGGUGAACCUGCGGAUGGAUCAUUAACACACACAUACACUAUUUUCCUUUUUCGUAAUCUCUUUGAGAGAUUAUGAAAAAGGAAAAUAAGCCCUAAAGCGAACUGUUAAAGUCCCUUAACAAAAACACACAAACCACAUUAACGAUUUAUCUAAGACAUUCGCUUUUCUAUCUGUUUUCUCUCUCGCUCGCUCUCUCUCUCCUUCUUCUGCUUCAAAACAGAGACGGAGUAAAAGCGAAGAGGAGAAGAAGAAAGAAAGAAAAGCAAACACAUUAACAACAAAAAGACACAAUUUUUGACAAUGGAUAUCUUGGCUCGCUG
rnacentral:misc_RNA from 1 species